UUUUUUUUCUUUUUUUUUUUUUUGUCUUUUUGCCUUUUCUAGGGCCGCUCCCUCAGCAUAUGGAGGAUCCCAGGCUAGGGGUCAAAUUGGAGCUGCAGCCUUGGGCCUACGACACAGCCACAGCAACGCCAGAUUAGAGCAGCAUCUGCAACCUACACCACAGCUCAUGGCAACACCGGAUCCUUAACCCACUGAGCAAGGCCAGGGAUUGAACCCGCAACCUCAUGGUUCCUAGUCAGAUUUGUUAACCACUGCGCCAUAACGGGAACUCCUAAGGGAGGAAAUCUUAAAAGUCCUCACCACACACAGAAAAAGGUAACAAUAUGAAACAAUGGGUGUGUUAACUACUUGGAGAUCAUUUCACAAUAUACACACAAGUCAAAUCAUCAUGAUCAUGAGAUGUCAUGUCACUUAUAUCUCAACAAAUUUAGGGGAAAAAAGUAAACCUAAUAAUUCCCCCUAAGAAAUUUUUUUUAAAAUAGAAUAAAAAAGUCUAUUUAAAAAAAAGGAGUUUAAAUUUUGAUGGAGUCUAAUUUACCAAUUUUUAAAUUUUAUGAUGAUUGUUUUUUGUGUUAAGGAAAUGUCACGGAGUUCCUGUCGUGGCUCAGCAAAAAGUCACUGACCCAGGCAGGAAAAUUUCAUAUUUCAUAGUUGACAUGCAGCAGUUUUAAUGAAUCCUUUUUAUCCACUACAUGUUCAAGACUUGCUGAAAGAUGAAGUGACACCUCCUUUCGGCACUGAGCUACUAGAAGAGAGGGCCUGGAUCUGUUUCAUUUGCCCAGGUGUGGCUGCCAUAUCCCACCUGCAUAGGGUCCCUGAAACACCCCAGGAACACAAAAGGUCCCAUUCUUUGCCAUCUAUCCACACCCAAAGACUGUUUUAUUGUGCUUAUAGGCUUUCACUACCUGGUUAUUGAUUUCCUGUGGUAUGUCACUACAGAAACAUUUGCUUUAUGAAUUUAAAAGAAUGAAUAACUAGGACAAGGAUUUAAAAUUACAUAGAAUGGCAUGUCGCAACAGAAGAAAGGGUGGGGGAAAAAACUGUAACUGCAAUGUAUACAUCUAAGGAUAACCUGACCCCCUUGCUGUACAGUGGGAAAAAAAAAAAAAAAUUACAUAGAAUGGAGAUGCAGCUAGCAAAAUCCAGACCGUGGGAAAUUCUAUGAAACAAAGUGUUUUCAACAAAACAAUAGAGAGGGGAAGGAUUUAAAGGCGGUUAAUCGUGAUUUAAGAGACAUGUUAACCAGGCACAUUGUAUAGACCUCAUCUGGAUCCUUAUUCAAAUAAAUUAACUUAAGAAAAGGAAAUUAGAGAAUAAGCAGAGAAAAAUGACGAUAGACUGGAAUGCUGAUGAUAUUGAGGAAACAAUCACCACUUUUUUAGAGUGCGGUGAUAGUACUGUUGGUUAUUUCAGAAAGACAGUCCUAAUCUUUUAGAGAUACAUACUGAGAUAUUUACAAAUUGUGAAAUACGAAAUAAUAUAAGGUUUGGGAUUUGCUAAUCUGAGUGAGGUGGGGUGGGGAAGUGGCCAGAGUUUUGAACGAAACAAGACUGUCAGCUGGUAACUGUUGCAGUUGCAUUAUGGGUACACAUAAACCUCUUCUCUCCACUUUGAAAUUUUCAAAAAGUUAAAAAAGUAAAUCUAACCAAUAGAACGAUUAAAGUGUCUACGUUUUUGUUAAAAAAUGUUUAAAGUCUGUAACACCUUCGAAUUCUUUCACUUUGCAAGAUGUGUAUAAGAGAGUAGUAUUCUGAUUCACAAGUCCUGAAAAGUAUCUUUGAAAGCAGGACUCAGAACUCAUUGGUUGCUUGCCUUCUACCACGUUUCUGCUGUAAUGUACCCCCCCUCUUUCCUUCCAUCAGAACAGGCACUUACCUCUGAGAAGCUGGAAUCCAGUUCAAAGAUGCACACUGAAUCAACUGCCCUCAAAUGUCAGAACAGGCAAGUAGUCUGGCAAUGCCUACUGCUUUGGGCACAUUAAGCCCAUGUCUUGACCACCUACCUUGGCUUGCAGUUGUGCCAGGGUCUGUCAAGAACUGUCAAGCCAAUGCUUUAUGAUGACCAUACAACUGAUCGCUGUCCAUUCCCAGUCUUUGAAAGAGCCUCCCACACACUGGGUCAGUAGGGUGACCUGUACAUUCUUGUCCUUUUCUGCCAUUUUCUCAGAAAAGUUUGAACUAGCCAACUCAAAAUAUUCAGAAACUUCCAAAGUCAACUGGACUCUAUGCCAAAACCUCUUGAUGAGCAGAAAUGAAGUUCUCAAAAGGGUUAAAUGAAUGACCUUCCGUCCCACUUCUGAUACAGACAACACAAGCCCCUAUCCUAGAGUCACUAUAGUUAAUACAAAAAUGUUGCCUCACCCCACCUGCAACUCCCAAAUCCAAUAAACCUUGUUUGGCUACAGACCUUCAUCAUUUGAGUGGGAAAGAUUCAAUAGGUGAAAAACUUAAAAGAGGCAGGUCAGGUCUUUUUCCCUAGCAAAAAUAAAUCUUUUAAGGCUCCCUUGGUUAACCCAACCCUUCAUAAAAUAAAGCAGCUACUGCAUUCCCGGUACGACUCACAUAAGAUCACCAGUUAUAUUUCAUUCACCAGACCUCACAAAACCCCCAGGGCCUCCAUCUCUCUUGCCCAUGAAACAAAGCGAAUGAAAACUUAGAUAUACCACAAGCGUACACAGGAUUUUUUUCAGCACCCCCGUUUCCAUCGGGUACACGUUCACACACAUACAAACAUACAAUAACCCCCACCCCCCGAGUGGAAUAUGCCAAACAGUGUGACCUGUGCUGAUUUUCAGCGGAGAAACAUGGGAAUUUAUGUUUGUUUUUGGUUUGGGCUUAAAAUGGAAAGGAAAGGAGGAGAAAGCGGCGUGAACAAUCGGAAACGACUCUCCAUUCUCUCGCUUCCUCCCAUCUCCCUCUGCAUCAAAAUGCAGGUAUUAUCAGUGAAAUUUCAAGUGACAAUUUCUUGGGCAGUUAAAUACCCCGACUGAUGCUGGGAACGGAGGUGGAGGUUAAGAGUGAAACCAAAGACGGGAAGGGCGGGCCGGGUCGGAGGCCCCCGAGCUCCGCCGGGCUGCACCUAGCACGCGAGGUCGCCGAGCGCCGGUGCCGGCCGCGCCCCAGCUCUCGCCCGGCCCGCUGCCCUGGGUUUUGCCAGUGACUACGCCGUCUGGGCUGCCCACUCACACCUCUGGCUGGUCCCGACUUUAGGCUAGGCUCAUCCACUUCCGGUGACAAAUCCCUCCCACCACCUCUAGAAAUAAUGUAACAUUUCCCCCAUCGCCUUCCUAAAGACCGACGGCCCCACAGAGAGCCUGAGCCCGAGCUGAGGUCUCACCC
ensembl:lncRNA